rnacentral:rRNA from 1 species
GAAUAGAUGGUUGAAGUGCGUAGGUGUUGAUCCAGUAGGCAAAUCCGCUGGUGAACUGAAACAUGAUAGUAUACUGAUCCCUUCGGGGUGAUGUAAUAGUGGCUCCAAGCAGACUUCCAAGAAAAACCUCUAAGCUUCAGGUAUAUACAGCCCGUACCAUAAACCGACACAGGUAGUCGAGGAGAAUAUCCUAAGGCGCUCGAGUGAGUCAUGGCUAAGGAACUAGGCAAAUUAGUCUCGUAACUUCGGGAAAAGAGACCCCUGCAUUUAUGUGGGGCGCAGAGAAAUGGCCCAGGCGACUGUUUAUCAAAAACACAGGACUCUGCAAAAUCGAAAGAUGAAGUAUAGGGUCUGACACCUGCCCGGUGCUGGAAGGUUAAGGAAGGUGCUUAGCGCAAGCGAAGGUAUUGACUGAAGCCCCAGUAAACGGCGGCCGUAACUAUAACGGUCCUAAGGUAGCGAAAUUCCUUGUCGGGUAAGUUCCGACCUGCACGAAUGGUGUAACGAUCUGGGCGCUGUCUCAGCCACGAGCUCGGUGAAAUUGAAGUAUCGGUGAAGAUGCCGAUUACCCGCAACGGGACGGAAAGACCCCGUGAACCUUUACUAUAGCUUCACAUUGAGCUUGGAUGCAGGAUGUGUAGGAUAGGUGGGAGACUAUGAGUAUGGUACGCCAGUACUGUAGGAGUCGUUGUUGAAAUACCACCCUUCCUGUAUUUAGGUUCUAAUCCGGGAUGACCCGGGGACAGUGUGUGGUGGGUAGUUUGACUGGGGUGGUCGCCUCCAAAAGAGUAACGGAGGCUUGCAAAGGUGCACUCAGCAUGGUCGGUAAUCAUGCGUAGAGCGUAUUAGUAUAAGUGUGCUUGACUGAGAGACCGACGGGUCGAACAGGAACGAAAGUUGGCUAAAGUGAUCCGGUGUUUCCGCAUGGAAGGGACAUCGCUCAAAGGAUAAAAGGUACUCCGGGGAUAACAGGCUGAUCCCACCCAAGAGCUCAUAUCGACGGUAGGGUUUGGCACCUCGAUGUCGGCUCGUCACAUCCUGGGGCUGGAGAAGGUCCCAAGGGUUGGGCUGUUCGCCCAUUAAAGUGGCACGCGAGCUGGGUUCAGAACGUCGCAAGACAGUUCGGUCCCUAUCUGUUGUGGGCGCAGGAAUAUUGAAGGGAGCUGAUUCUAGUACGAGAGGACCGAAUUGGACGUACCGCUAGUGUACCGGUUGUGGCGCCAGCUGCACCGCCGGGUAGCUAUGUACGGCACGGAUAAGCGCUGAAAGCAUCUAAGCGCGAAGCCAGCCCUAAGAUGAGUAUUCCAGCACGUAAGUGUAAAGGACCCUGGGAGACGACCAGGUUGAUAGGUUACAGGUGGAAGUGCAGUAAUGUGCGUAGCCGAGUAAUACUAAUUGUCCGACAGCUUCCUUUU